rnacentral:rRNA from 1 species
UACGUAGGUGACAAGCGUUAUCCGGAAUUACUGGGCGUAAAGCGCACGCAGGCGGCUGAUUAAGUCUGACGUAAAAUUUCCCGGCUUAACUGGGAGGGGUCGUUGGAGACUGGUUGGCUUGAGGCGAUGAGAGGGGUGUGGAAUUCCCGGUGUAGUGGUGGAAUGCGUAGAUAUCGGGAGGAACAUCAGUGGCGAAAGCGGCACCCUGGCAUUAGCCUGACGCUCAGGUGCGAAAGCGUGGGGAGCGAACGGG